rnacentral:rRNA from 1 species
UGGGGAAUAUUGGACAAUGGGCGAAAGCCUGAUCCAGCCAUGCCGCGUGUGUGAAGAAGGUCUUCGGAUUGUAAAGCACUUUAAGUUGGGAGGAAGGGCAUUAACCUAACACGUUAGUGUUUUGACGUUACCGACAGAAUAAGCACCGGCUAACUCUGUGCCAGCAGCCGCGGUAAUACAGAGGGUGCAAGCGUUAAUCGGAAUUACUGGGCGUAAAGCGCGCGUAGGUGGUUUGUUAAGUUGGAUGUGAAAGCCCCGGGCUCAACCUGGGAACUGCAUCCAAAACUGGCAAGCUAGAGUACGGUAGAGGGUGGUGGAAUUUCCUGUGUAGCGGUGAAAUGCGUAGAUAUAGGAAGGAACACCAGUGGCGAAGGCGACCACCUGGACUGAUACUGACACUGAGGUGCGAAAGCGUGGGGAGCAAACA